UACAGAGGGGGCAAGCGUUGUUCGGAAUUACUGGGCGUAAAGGGCGCGUAGGCGGCCGCCUAAGUCAGACGUGAAAUCCCUCGGCUCAACCGGGGAACUGCGUCUGAUACUGGGUGGCUUGAAUUCGGGAGAGGGAUGCGGAAUUCCAGGUGUAGCGGUGAAAUGCGUAGAUAUCUGGAGGAACACCGGUGGCGAAGGCGGCAUCCUGGACCGAUAUUGACGCUGAGGCGCGAAAGCCAGGGGAGCAAACGGG
rnacentral:rRNA from 1 species